rnacentral:rRNA from 1 species
UACGUAGGGGGCUAGCGUUGUCCGGAAUCAUUGGGCGUAAAGAGCGCGUAGGCGGCUGGAAUAGUCCGGUGUGAAAUCCACAGGCUUAACCUGUGAAUGCCGCUGGAAACUGUCUGGCUAGAGUCCGGAAGGGGCGAGUGGAAUUCCUGGUGUAGCGGUGAAAUGCGCAGAUAUCAGGAGGAACACCAAUGGCGAAGGCAGCUUGCUGGGACGGUACUGACGCUGAGGCGCGAAAGCGUGGGGAGCGAACAGG